rnacentral:rRNA from 1 species
CAUGUCAAGUCGAACGGCAGCACAGCAGAGCUUGCUCUGUGGGUGGCGAGUGGCGGACGGGUGAGGAAUACAUGGGAAUCUGCCCAGUCGUGGGGGAUAACGUAUGGAAACGUACGCUAAUACCGCAUGCGCCCUACGGGGGAAAGCCGGGGACCGCAAGGCCUGGCGCGAUUGGAUGAGCCCAUGUUCGAUUAGCUAGUUGGCGGGGUAAAGGCCCACCAAGGCGACGAUCGAUAGCUGGUCUGAGAGGAUGAUCAGCCACACUGGAACUGAGACACGGUCCAGACUCCUACGGGAGGCAGCAGUAGGGAAUAUUGGACAAUGGGGGCAACCCUGAUCCAGCCAUGCCGCGUGAGUGAAGAAGGCCCUCGGGUUGUAAAGCUCUUUUGUCCGGAAAGAAAAGCAAUCGGUUAAUACCCGGUUGUUCUGACGGUACCGGAAGAAUAAGCACCGGCUAACUUCGUGCCAGCAGCCGCGGUAAUACGAAGGGUGCAAGCGUUACUCGGAAUUACUGGGCGUAAAGCGUGCGUAGGUGGUUCGUUAAGUCUGAUGUGAAAGCCCUGGGCUCAACCUGGGAAUGGCAUUGGAUACUGGCGGGCUAGAGUGCGGUAGAGGGUAGUGGAAUUCCCGGUGUAGCAGUGAAAUGCGUAGAGAUCGGGAGGAACAUCUGUGGCGAAUGCGACUGCCUGGACCAGCACUGACACUGAGGCACGAAAGCGUGGGGGAGCAAACAGGAUUAGAUACCCUGGGUAGUCCACGCCCUAAACGAUGCGAACUGGGAUGUUGGGUUUCAACUUGSAAACUCAGGAWUCGAAGCUAACGCGKUUAAGUUUCGCCGSSUG